rnacentral:RNase_P_RNA from 1 species
UGGCCUUUAUAUUCCGCAAGGAGAUAAAGUGCACAGGUAAGGGUGAAAGGGUGCGGUAAGAGCGCACCGCGCGGCUGGCAACAGUUCGUGGCACGGUAAACUCCACCCGGAGCAAGACCAAAUAGGUCCCUAUUGGCGCGGCCCGCGUUGGGGACGGGUAGGUUGCUUGAGCCUGUGAGCGAUUGCAGGCCUAGACGAAUGGUUACCACCGUUUUUUACGGUACAGAACCCGGCUUACAGGCCGACUCACUUA